AAUGAAUUUAUCUAUUCUGUUCUUCACAUCUUCUACUUCUCUCCAGCUGCGUGUCUUCUACUUCUAUCAUCUGCCGACUGCUUCAUCUUCUAUUCUCUUCACUAUCACACGUACAAUUUGUAUAUAUCUAUUGAAAUAAUGGUGUUGUUCAAGGUUGAUUUUAGAUUUUUUUCUUUUUUAUUAACUGAAAUCUUGUACAAGAGAUUCAGCAAAGAGAUUGGAACUCUAGUGGCUAAUAGGAGGCGAGAAAUGGUAUUAAAGUAUUCUUUCUUCAUACAAGAAAUUUUUUUAACGAAAAUAUUAUUUUUGAAACCCGGAUAAACCGUGACCGGAUGGUUUUCCAGGUUUUGUACCGCUUUCCAUGUAUUCGAUUUUCAUGUUUCACCGGACCGGCUAUCACUGGUCCAAUGACCCGCCUAUUUGAAAAUUAAAAUCGUCCACAAUUUCGAAUAAAAUGCCUUUCUGAUUUCCAAGAUUCCCAAGAAGGCCUCUCUCAUUUCAAGAGAAAUUCAAAAUGGCAGAGAACGAGGAGCCUGGCCAGCCAGAUCCUGAAAAUGAUAAAGACAAAGAAAAUUCCAGAAAUGUCGAUGAUAAUCAAUAAUCGGUCGAACGGGUAGUCACUUCUGGGUAUUUCGUUUAUGAAAUUUUGUCCAAAUUACCACGUGAAAGUUUGCUAGAUGACCUUCAUGAAGUCAGCCCAUUGUGGGCUGCAGUUAAGACGAAAUUAAUUUCCGACUUGAGAUUGGAGGCAAAACAAAGAAUUGCUCACUGUCUUCUUCCUAGAGAAACGGUUUUUGAAGGUGUGAUCCGGAACAUUGCCAAUGUAGAAUCACGGGAUGUAAUGUUCUUGGCGGACGUGACGUUUGUUGGGGCAACUGGUCCAGAAGGUUUCGAAAUUCGAUCGAGGGAGUACAUUCUUUCUGAAGUUGAAGGCAGUUUAUCUGGUACUGAUGGUAAUACCACUGAGGACGAUGGUGAUGAAUGAAAAUUGGAAUAUCCGGUUUUCUUGCAGGAACAUUUUUGAUAGAUUGAUACUAUUGAUCAUAUUUUCGAGUUCAUGAACAUUGGAAUAUACGAUUUUUUUGUACGAACAUUGUUGAUAGAUUGAUAUUGAUCAUAUUUUCGAGUUCAUAAAUCAUGACAAUAAAAUCGAUAUUUUCUCCC